AUCCCUCGACCGAAGAGCUUACUUCCGUUACAACUUCCAUCAGCAAUCCACCCCUCUCUCUCUCUCUCUCUCUCUCUCUCUCUCACACACACACACACACACACAUUGUGUUCCAUCCUUCUUUCAUACCCACAUUCAGUUUUCCUUGUACAUUUUGUAAGCAAACUUCCUGUUCAAUUUCUUCUACUACUUUGUUCUCCUGACUGAUGUAAAAACAGGCUGCUCAAAUACUCACUUUCUUCCCUUAUUGAACUGCCUAUUCUUGAAGGUAUCAAAUUCUAAGUAAUGUAAGAGUGAAAAGCUACUUUCUUUGAUAGAUUAACAUGCCCAUUUUAUCUCUGUUGUCAUAAUCAUUCUUGUCAAGUUCUGAUAAUGGGUUCUCGCUAAGUCUCUGAUUCUUUGCUUUCUUGUUAUACCCAUUUGGUUAAACUUGUUUUAAAGCACUAAGAAUCACUUGUCUAAAAAUGGUGUCUCGCUAAAUUCUUGAUUCUUGGUACUACUUUGUCCUCUCUGCUCUUUUUUGCUCAGAUAUAUAAACAGCUUUGUCAGAUACUAAAGUUCUGACAUGUAACUGAAAAUUAGAUCCUUGUCCCACUUUUUUCUUGUUAAGUUCAAUUUUUAGUGUCAGCUAGUUAUUCUAUAUAUGUGAGGAAGAGAUUUGGUGUAAUGGAUCUAAAGCAUUUUGGAGUCAACCGUUAAUUGAGAUCUCAGUAAAUGGAGUACUGCUGUUUCUUUCGUUAAAGACUUGAUUUUUAUACCACUUAUGGCUUUACUCCGUUAAUCUUUUUGACUUGUGGUCCUAUGAAAUUCAAAUAGGCAGAGAUUUUUUGGAAGUCUUAGAUACAUCCUAGACAUAUAUUAUUCAUUGCUAACUGAUUCUUUUGUUCUUCCUAACUUGUAAUCUCCAAGAAUCAUUCUUUGUAAAUCUGUUAAUAUGUAGAGUUAGUUAAUUAGCAGCUAAUUUUAUGGACCUUAAUGAAGGUCAGUAUACAGUUAAUAGAAAUGAAUCAGCCAAUUUUCCUUUUUAUCCUAAAUACUCUAGUCAUGAUCAAGUAGGUGUUGUCCUUCCUGCCCAAAGUUUUGUUUCUUUGCCUAUGCAAGUUUAGUUGAAUUUCAUAUUGGCCUCUCGAGUCCUUUCAAUUCUGUGCUAGUUUGUUGUCCUUCAAGUUUUUUUUGUUCCGUCAAACGAAAAAAAAAAAAAAAAUUCUACCCUUCAUUUUGGACAAAUUUCGAGUGAUCAUGGAAGAAACAUUUGUUCCCCUCCGUGGAAUCAAGAAUGAUCUCAAAGGAAGAUUGUUAUGCUACAAGCAAGAUUGGACCGGUGGUCUCCGUGCUGG
rnacentral:lncRNA from 1 species